GGUAGUUCAGUGGUUAGAACAUCUGCCUUGCAUGCAGAAGGUCUCAGGUUUGAUCCUGGGCAACA